rnacentral:rRNA from 1 species
UACGUAGGGGGCUAGCGUUGUCCGGAUUCAUUGGGCGUAAAGCGCGCGUAGGUGGCCACAUAAGUCCGUUGUGAAAGUCAAAGGCUCAACCUUUGAAAGCCGAUGGAUACUGUGUGGCUAGAGUACGGAAGAGGCGAGUGGAAUUCCUGGUGUAGCGGUGGAAUGCGCAGAUAUCAGGAGGAACACCAAUAGCGAAGGCAGCUCGCUGGGACGUUACUGACACUGAGGCGCGAAAGCGUGGGGAGCGAACAGG